UGAAAGAGGGUAGAGCACUAAAGGUGAGAAAUCGCCAGAGGAAGCUUUACACUAAUAGUGGGUCUUACUGGAGCCAUGUAGUGUUUGAGCAUCCUGCUACAUUCAAGACACUAGCAAUGGAGCCAGAGAAGAAGAAGGAGAUUAUAGAAGACCUUAUCACAUUCAGUCAGGCAGAAGAAUUCUAUGCAAGAAUUGGCAGGGCCUGGAAGAGAGG
rnacentral:misc_RNA from 1 species